CAUGGAGAAGAUCAGUGGUUGAUCGCCCGGCUUUCUCCGGGAGGGCGCGGGUUCGAAUCCCGCCUCCAUGUCCA
rnacentral:tRNA from 1 species